rnacentral:rRNA from 1 species
CAGCAAUCGCCGCGGUAAUACGAAGGGGGCUAGCGUUGUUCGGAAUAACUGGGCGUAAAGGGCGCGUAGGCGGAUCUUUAAGUCAGGGGUGAAAUCCCAAGGCUCAACCUUGGAACUGCCUUUGAUACUGGAGAUCUUGAGUCCGGGAGAGGUGAGUGGAACUGCGAGUGUAGAGGUGAAAUUCGUAGAUAUUCGCAAGAACACCAGUGGCGAAGGCGGCUCACUGGCCCGGUACUGACGCGGAGGCGCGAAAGCGUGGGGAGCAAACAGGAUUAGAUACCCCUGUAGUCCCUGUCUCUUAUAC